CUAGUAGCUGAAAUGUGACACUUUGGAAAAGAGACGCGACUUACAGAACAUUUUUUUGAUGUGGACAGAUUCUUUAUGAUGAAAGCAAUAAAUUGCUGAAUGUUUCCUUGUGGCUGGUGAAGGGUGAACACAGAAGCUGUAUCUGGGGCAGCCAACAGAAGUUACUAGCAGAAAGUGAUGCCCAGCACAAUUCUGGGUGCCCAGGAAACUCUUAGUAUAAUGUUCAGCUGACUCUGACCAGAAUUGACACCACGAUCCAAAUGGCAGGCGUCUGACUCUGACUCUGGAACACCCUGAGGGAAUCCUUGCUUGAUGGUGCUGUGUUCUUCCCAUUGCAUCGUAUCAUAAGGAGUAUGGUGUCUGGGGGAACCACUGAGUGAUGACUGCUCAGUCCCCACUGAAGGGCAGAACCUUGCAGGGCAGCAACAACACUUGUCCAAAAAGACAUGCAUAGCAGAUCCUUGAAAGGAUGACUCUCCCUGGAGCGUGAUGCUGUGUCUGGACUGGCAUGUGUCACUGGAGUGAGUACCAGCCCUUGGAAGAUGGUGUCCGCCAGGGACCUGACGGGCUGCUGCAGUCUGAGGCCACGUGGAGGCCACAUCUCCUGAUACAAACCUGUCUGCCCUUUUACCAGUGGCAGAACCUGGAUCCUCUGACUACUUUUUUCUUUUUCCUCCCUUCCUCCCCAGAGGCUGACAGUAUUUCCUCACUGAAGCCCCCAGUACCCACCACUGCCUCUCUCUCUCUCCCUCCAAUCUCUGUUGUGAGAUUCCAGACUGGCCUUGCACAAUGCCAUGGUACGUCUGUCAUUCCCAGAUGUAAAGAUUCCUAGCAGUCCCUUAUGGACAGUGGGACAAAAUCUAAAUAGCUUAGCCUAACACGUGUGGUCCUGUCUUGAAUUUGAGUCCAGCCUUAGUGCCUUCAUUCCCUCCCCAUCCUCCUUCCCUUCCUCCACUCCCUCCCCUACUCCAUUCUGCCAACAAGAGCCUCUCACUAGAGCCGCAGAGUCCACACGGUGUUUCUCAAAGUCAUAGCACACCUCCCCAUCGCUGGCCUGGAAUGGCCCCCUGCCUCUCAGCUUCCAUCAGCUUCUCUGUGAGCCUCCCCUGCUCUCAGUAAUCUGUUUGCCCUCUGAGUUUCCACAUCAUGUAUUAUCCAUGCCCCAUGCAUUUCUUCCAUACCUAUUAUAAAAUAAUAAUAAAGUGAUAGCUACUGCUCCUUGAGUACCUUCAUGUCAGGUGCAGACAGAGUUAUUAGCCAAAGCCAUUAGUUUGAUGGAGGGCCAGAGAGAUGAGAGGCCAGGGAAGGGCUGGCAAGGUCCCAGACACUAGGUCAUGGCUGGAGAUGAGCUUCCUUGGCUUAGGGAAUUCCUUGGGCAGAAAAGAGUCAAACACAAGAGGGUCUGCCUGAGAUCGUUUGGGGGGCCGAGAUGGGCAAUCUGGAAAGAGGUCAUUUUUUGCUGUCUAGGAGAGGCCAGGUUUGGGCUACACCCAGGGGCUGUAAUAACCACCUUUUUGAGGACCCCUUCUGUGCUGAUCCACAGAGGUCCCUGACUCCAGCAACAGGGAGGAGGGGGCAGGCUCCAGCAUCACCAGGACUCUCCUGCCCUGGCCCCGCUCCCCUGCCUGCAGAGCAGGCUUUGAAAAGCAAAGAGCCCUGGAGCCCAGUUACCUCGCUCUGGCCUCUCUUGCCCCCAGUUCAGGGUCUGGCUGCACCUGCAGCUUCCCUUCCUGCAGGUACCCUGAUCCUUUGCCUGUUGUUCCAAAAGGGGGUGGGUGAGGACCCCAGCUGUCCAGGCUCCAACAUUCUCUAUCUACAGUCUACAGCUGCCAUCUUCUGCCUCCAGCGUCUAGUGAUCUCUAGUCCUUUUCUCAAAGGGGUCACCAUGUUCCUCGUAUCAGGCCCCAGAUUCUCAGCGGCUUGGAGGGGCAGGGUGGAGAUAAGAUGCCUUGGCUGGCGGCCUGAACGAGCUCUUAUUUAGGGCUCUGCCUAUUUGUCCAGGUGACCCACGUGUCCUUCUGAGGUGGGAAACCCCAUGAAAAAGAUGGCAGGACCCCUAGGCAGGGCCACUACACUCCUGCCAGAACCAUUCGGUUCCCUGGCCCGGUGGCAUUAUCUUGCUAUUUGCCUUUGAAAAGGCUUGAUUCUAGGAAAGUGGAGCU